GCAAGACGAACGAAUCCCAAGAUUAUUGGCAAACGGAUGAGUAACACGUAAGCAAUCAACCCUACAAUGGGGGAUAAUCCAUCCCUUGGUGGACUAAUACCGCAUUCGAGCUGUUCUCAUCCCCAAUUGCUGAAAGCCGCAGGGCGCUGUUGGACGAGCUUGCUUCCUAUCAGGUAGUUGGCGGGGUAACGGCCCACCAAGCCUAAGACGGGUAACUGGCCUGACAGGACGGCCAGUCAGACGGGGACUGAGACACGGCCCCCACUCCUACGGGAGGCAGCAGCAGGGAAUUUUGCGCAAUGGACGAAAGUCUGACUCAGCGACACCGCGUGAGGGAUGAAGGCCUUCGGGCCGUAAACCUCUUUUGUAGAGGACGAGAUAGGACGGUACUCUAAGAAUAAGCCCCGGCUAACUAUGUGCCAGCAGCCGCGGUAAUACGUAUGGGGCAAGCGUUGUCCGGAUUUAUUGGGCGUAAAGGGCGAGUAGGUGGUUAAUUAACUCCUUGGUGGAAUCUCCCGGCUUAACUGGGAGGGGUCCGAGGAUAGUGGUUAACUAUAGGGACGUAGAGGAAAUCGGAAUUCCCGGUGUAGCGGAGACAUGCGUAGAUAUCGGGAGGAACACCAGUGGCGAAGGCGGAUUUCUAGACGUUUCCUGACACUGAGGCGCGAAAGCGUGGGUAGCAAACCGAAUCAGAUACUCGGGUAGUCCACGCCCUAAACUAU
rnacentral:rRNA from 1 species